rnacentral:rRNA from 1 species
CAGUCGCCACGGGAAUACGUAGGUGGCAAGCGUUGUCCGGAAUUAUUGGGCGUAAAGGGCUCGCAGGCGGUUUCUUAAGUCUGAUGUGAAAGCCCCCGGCUCAACCGGGGAGGGUCAUUGGAAACUGGGAAACUUGAGUGCAGAAGAGGAGAGUGGAAUUCCACGUGUAGCGGUGAAAUGCGUAGAGAUGUGGAGGAACACCAGUGGCGGAGGCGACUCUCUGGUCUGUAACUGACGCUGAGGAGCGAAAGCGUGGGGAGCGAACAGGAUUAGAUACCCCUGUAGUCCCUGUCUCUUAUAC